rnacentral:rRNA from 1 species
AUCAGCUUGUUGGUGGGGUGAUGGCCUACCAAGGCGACGACGGGUAGCCGGCCUGAGAGGGCGACCGGCCACACUGGGACUGAGACACGGCCCAGACUCCUACGGGAGGCAGCAGUGGGGAAUAUUGCACAAUGGGCGAAAGCCUGAUGCAGCGACGCCGCGUGAGGGAUGAAGGCCUUCGGGUUGUAAACCUCUUUCAGCAGGGAAGAAGCGCAAGUGACGGUACCUGCAGAAGAAGCGCCGGCUAACUACGUGCCAGCAGCCGCGGUAAUACGUAGGGCGCAAGCGUUGUCCGGAAUUAUUGGGCGUAAAGAGCUCGUAGGCGGUUUGUCGCGUCUGGUGUGAAAACUCGAGGCUCAACCUCGAGCUUGCAUCGGGUACGGGCAGACUAGAGUGCGGUAGGGGAGACUGGAAUUCCUGGUGUAGCGGUGGAAUGCGCAGAUAUCAGGAGGAACACCGAUGGCGAAGGCAGGUCUCUGGGCCGCAACUGACGCUGAGGAGCGAAAGCAUGGGGAGCGAACAGGAUUAGAUACCCUGGUAGUCCAUGCCGUAAACGUUGGGCACUAGGUGUGGGGCUCAUUCCACGAGUUCCGUGCCGCAGCAAACGCAUU